rnacentral:lncRNA from 1 species
ACUUAUCUGACCAAUUUGGUGGAUUAUGUCUUGAUUAGACUGCCAAAUGAUUCGAGUUGACCCAUGCCAUUAAGGUUGAUCAGUAUGACUGAUCUAGGUGUCAGUUCGACCAGUAUGAUCUUAAUCUAAUUCAAUGACUUGGUGAAGUUAGUAGGAGGAUUAUGAUUUAUUGGUUGAUCUUUUCUCUUUUCUCAAUUCAUAAAUUAAAUUCUUUAAAUUAU